GAUGAACGCUGGCGGCGUGCCUAAUACAUGCAAGUCGAGCGAACAGAUAAGGAGCUUGCUCCUUUGACGUUAGCGGCGGACGGGUGAGUAACACGUGGGUAACCUACCUAUAAGACUGGGAUAACUUCGGGAAACCGGAGCUAAUACCGGAUAACAUUUGGAACCGCAUGGUUCUAAAGUGAAAGAUGGUUUUGCUAUCACUUAUAGAUGGACCCGCGCCGUAUUAGCUAGUUGGUAAGGUAACGGCUUACCAAGGCGACGAUACGUAGCCGACCUGAGAGGGUGAUCGGCCACACUGGAACUGAGACACGGUCCAGACUCCUACGGGAGGCAGCAGUAGGGAAUCUUCCGCAAUGGGCGAAAGCCUGACGGAGCAACGCCGCGUGAGUGAUGAAGGGUUUCGGCUCGUAAAACUCUGUUAUUAGGGAAGAACAAAUGUGUAAGUAACUGUGCACGUCUUGACGGUGCCUAAUCAGAAAGCCACGGCUAACUACGUG
rnacentral:rRNA from 1 species